GGAAACCGGGAUUAAUACCAAAUAAAAUCAUAAUGACACAUGUCAUAACGAUCAAAACUCCGGUGGUCUAAGAUGGACUCGCGUCCCAUUAGCUAGUUGGUAGAGUAAAAGCCUACCAAGGCGACGAUGGGUAGCCGGCCUGAGAGGGUGGACGGCCACAUUGGGACUGAGAUACGGCCCAG
rnacentral:rRNA from 1 species